GCUAUAAUGCAGUCGAGCGGACAGAAGGGAGCUUGCUCCCGGAUGUUAGCGGCGGACGGGUGAGUAACACGUGGGUAACCUGCCUGUAAGACUGGGAUAACUCCGGGAAACCGGAGCUAAUACCGGAUAGUUCCUUGAACCGCAUGGUUCAAGGAUGAAAGACGGUUUCGGCUGUCACUUACAGAUGGACCCGCGGCGCAUUAGCUAGUUGGUGAGGUAACGGCUCACCAAGGCGACGAUGCGUAGCCGACCUGAGAGGGUGAUCGGCCACACUGGGACUGAGACACGGCCCAGACUCCUACGGGAGGCAGCAGUAGGGAAUCUUCCGCAAUGGACGAAAGUCUGACGGAGCAACGCCGCGUGAGUGAUGAAGGUUUUCGGAUCGUAAAGCUCUGUUGUUAGGGAAGAACAAGUGCAAGAGUAACUGCUUGCACCUUGACGGUACCUAACCAGAAAGCCACGGCUAACUACGUGCCAGCAGCCGCGGUAAUACGUAGGUGGCAAGCGUUGUCCGGAAUUAUUGGGCGUAAAGGGCUCGCAGGCGGUUUCUUAAGUCUGAUGUGAAAGCCCCCGGCUCAACCGGGGAGGGUCAUUGGAAACUGGGAAACUUGAGUGCAGAAGAGGAGAGUGGAAUUCCACGUGUAGCGGUGAAAUGCGUAGAGAUGUGGAGGAACACCAGUGGGCGAAGGCGACUCUCUGGUCUGUAACUGACGCUGAGGAGC
rnacentral:rRNA from 1 species